GCUGGGAUUGGUGGUGCUUGCCUGUAGUCCCAGCUAUUCAGGAGGCUGAGACUGGAGGAUCUCUUGAGUCCAGGAGUUCUGGGCUGUAGUGCGCUAUGCCAACCGGGUGUCCGCACUAAGUUCGGCAUCAAUAUGGUGACCUCGCGGGAGCGGGGGACCACCAGGUUGCCUAAGGAGGGGUGAACCCACCCAGGUCGGAAAUGGAGCUGGUCAAAACUCCCAUGCUGAUCAGUAGUGGGAUUGCGUCUGUGAAUAGCCACUGCACUCCAGCCUGGGCAACACAGUGAGACCCCGUCUCU
rnacentral:SRP_RNA from 1 species